rnacentral:rRNA from 1 species
AUGGCUUCCGGCAGGCUCUGCUCCGUGCUGCUCGCCCUGCUGGUCGUCGUCCUGGCCACGCGGCCGGCGGCGGUGUCCGGAGCGUCGGCGCACCUGCACUUCUACAUGCACGACGUGCUGACUGGCCCGGCGCCGACGGCGGUGCAGGUGAUGGACGGGCCACGCAGCCACUUCGGCGACACGAUCGUGAUCGACGACGCGCUGACGGAGACCUCGUCGGCGACGUCGACGGGCGUGGGGCGCGCGCAGGGGCAGUACGUGUGGGCCUCGAGGGGGAACCCGGAGCUGCUGGUCACCAUGGACGUGGUGCUCACGUCGGGCCCCUACGCGGGGUCCUCCGUGACGGUGGUGGGCCGGGACGACAUCGGCGCGGCGGUGCAGGAGCUCUCGGUGGUCGGCGGCACCGGGCAGUUCAGGAUGGCUACAGGGUACGUGCUGUGGAAGACCGUCCGGCUGGACCACCCCAACGCCGUCCUUGAGCUCGAUGUCUUCGUCAACCCGUGA